AGUGCUUAGAAAGAAAGAAGAGCCAGG
rnacentral:misc_RNA from 1 species